UACGAAGGGGGCGAGCGUUGUUCGGAUUUACUGGGCGUAAAGAGCUCGUAGGCGGCCUGUCGCGUCUGCUGUGAAAUCCCGGGGCUCAACCCCGGGCCUGCAGUGGAUACGGGCUGGCUAGAGGCAGGCAGGGGAGAACGGAAUUCCUGGUGUAGCGGUGAAAUGCGCAGAUAUCAGGAGGAACACCGGUGGCGAAGGCGGUUCUCUGGGCCUGUACUGACGCUGAGGAGCGAAAGCGUGGGGAGCGAACAGG
rnacentral:rRNA from 1 species